rnacentral:rRNA from 1 species
GACGAACGCUGGCGGCGUGCUUAACACAUGCAAGUCGAGCGGUAAGGCCCUUUCGGGGGUACGACGAGCGGCGAACGGGUGAGUAACACGUGGGUGACCUGCCCUCAGCUCUGGGAUAAGCCUGGGAAACUGGGUCUAAUACUGGAUAUGACUCCACGGUGCAUGUCGUGGGGUGGAAAGCCUUGUGCGGCUGAGGAUGGGCCCGCGGCCUAUCAGCUUGCUGGUGGGGGAUGGCCUACCAAGGCGACGACGGGUAGCCGGCCUGAGAGGGCGACCGGCCACACUGGGACUGAGACACGGCCCAGACUCCUACGGGAGGCAGCAGUGGGGAAUCUUGCGCAAUGGGCGAAAGCCUGACGCAGCGACGCCGCGUGAGGGAUGACGGCCU